UUGUUUGCUUCUAUGUGAAGUUCAACCUGUACACAGAUCAUACAAUAAUAAUAAUAUAAAUUGUCUGAUACUAAUCUGUAUCGAAGAGGAUACUAUGGGCACGUAGGAGUUAACUGCGAGGUUCACGUCGCGGGUUUACGACACGUCAAUUGCUAUUGAGGACGAGGCAGUGGGACACUAGAUGUGCACUUGAUCGUCAGGAUCUCACAAGUUUCAUGGCAAUAAAGAAACUUCCAGGACAUUAAUCCUUCAUAAAAUUACGCGACCGGAAUAUCACUACUAUUGACAGCUGCUACUCGGAAACAACACGUACCUAGAGAUAAUUCGGGUUUGAUAAAACCAAGCUCAAGUGCAUUAGCGCCGCAAAGUGUAUCGUGUAUUGACGUACACAUAAGACGAGAUGUUUAUGUUCAGAUGUAUUUUACACAAAGAAACAUCGCAUGUCAGUUUUGCGAGUGCACUUUACUCCUCUAUAUGCAUCAACUAGCCGAGAAAGUAGAGAUAAGUGUGCCACGAAGAAGCGAUGCUUCCUUUCUAAAGAUAAAUAUCUGCCUCAUCACCUCUAAAAAUAGCGAAUCAAUACGUCUAGCCAAUCAACAACCUUUGUCUUCCGCACACUCUAAAGACAUGGGUGCAUAAACAUGGAAAAACUUUUAUCCCCUACCUACUCGAUCUUUUUUCUUCAGUUUUAUUGAAAGUGGCAUAUAACAUUCCUUUGUUACUUUAUAAAGAAUGUAUCUGUAUAUAUA